UUGCACGCUAGCGGGAUGCUUUACACAUGCAAGUCGCACGGCAGCGCGGACUUCGGUCUGGCGGCGAGUGGCGAACGGGUGAGUAAUGUAUCGGAACGUGCCCAGUAGCGGGGGAUAACUACGCGAAAGCGUAGCUAAUACCGCAUACGCCCUACGGGGGAAAGCAGGGGAUCGUAAGACCUUGCACUAUUGGAGCGGCCGAUAUCGGAUUAGCUAGUUGGUGAGGUAACGGCUCACCAAGGCGACGAUCCGUAGCUGGUUUGAGAGGACGACCAGCCACACUGGGACUGAGACACGGCCCAGACUCCUACGGGAGGCAGCAGUGGGGAAUUUUGGACAAUGGGGGCAACCCUGAUCCAGCCAUCCCGCGUGUGCGAUGAAGGCCUUCGGGUUGUAAAGCACUUUUGGCAGGAAAGAAACGUCGCGGGCUAAUACCCCGUGGAACUGACGGUACCUGCAGAAUAAGCACCGGCUAACUACGUG
rnacentral:rRNA from 1 species